UACGUAGGGUGCGAGCGUUGUCCGGAAUUAUUGGGCGUAAAGAGCUUGUAGGCGGUUUGUCGCGUCUGCUGUGAAAAUCCGGGGCUCAACCCCGGACUUGCAGUGGGUACGGGCAGACUAGAGUGUGGUAGGGGAGACUGGAAUUCCUGGUGCAGCGGUGAAAUGCGCAGAUAUCAGGAGGAACACCGAUGGCGAAGGCAGGUCUCUGGGCCACUACUGACGCUGAGAAGCGAAAGCAUGGGGAGCGAACAGG
rnacentral:rRNA from 1 species